rnacentral:misc_RNA from 1 species
AAAAUAGAAAAAAAAAAAGAAAAAGAUAGAGGGUAGGAAGCAGAACACAUGGCAUAAAAGAAAGAGAAAAUGAAAUAAACUUGUUCAGAACAUAGAUGUCUAAUUCCAUUUGUAGAGAUCACAUAAAAUUAAAAACUGUAAUGGAGUGAAGGUAGUAAUUUUCGAUUGAGCUGAAGCAGAGGCACAUAUAAAUUAUGGGUACACAAAUAUUGUAUAAAAUUCUAAAGAAGAUGAAAAAAGGAAGUAAUUCAAAGAAUAAGAGAACUCGUCCACAAAUGCAGCUCAGAGAAGUCGUCAGACUUACAACAGACCCUUCAAAAUCCAAAAAGCUUAAUUAUGAUAGAAUUGAAACCGAUAACAAGCACCUCGAAAGGAAUUACCAUAAUUGGAUCAGGAAAUCUCUAGUUAAAUUUGCACAUGAAACAAGAAAUUAUAAUCUAAACCAUAUAAUAAAGCCCGC